ACCAAGAAGGUAGCAACUCCAGUUAACUGGACGCAUGGUGGAAAGUGCAUGGUUUUGCCAUCUAUCAAGAAGGAAGAUGAAAGUAAAUUUUUCCCCAAAGGUGUUGAAACUGUGUCUGUGCCAUCUGGAAAAGGCUACCUUCGCUACACCCCACAACCUGAAUAGACAGUUUCGAAAACCACCAAGUCUUGUAACUGAAACAAUGACUUCUAGAAUCUUCCCUAAUAAAAGGGAAUGUGAAAAACAAUCUUGAUUUUAUAUACCUUGUGUUUUAGGUCCUAGACACUCUUGUUGAUAAGAUGUAAUCUAUUUAGGUACUGCUAACCUUUUUAAUAUUUAGUUUUGUAUUAGAAUCUUGGUUUUUAAUUUUAAUUUUUUUUAAAAAUACAUUUAUAUUCAUUUCUUGUCUUAAAACAAACAUGUGUGUUUUUACAAAUCUGGGAUUACCAUGCAAAAAAAGGUAUUUUUCAAAUUUGAGAAUAUUUAUUACCAAAGCGAUUUGAGAAUGCUUUAAAUACUAAUAUGGGAAUGUUUUUAAAAUUUAUUAGUAUUUUUAUAAUGUUCUUGUACCACUGUAAGAAUAUUAUGUUUGAGAAUGUUCAUGUACAAAACUUGAAUGUUCUUUUAACAAUGUUUGGCAAUGAUAGAAUGUGAAUUCACAUUACGGUAUACUAGGUAGGGAGUUGUAAUUCACUCCUUGAUUAUCCAAAGUAAAUUAGAAUAUCAAGUGUUAUUUUUUUUUAAUCUCUUUGUUAUGGGUACUUUACUUGCUCUGAUUCAAUCAUAAUAAAACUGAAUUUCUUACAA